ACAUGCACUGUGAUUCUUCUGUAUAAAGACGGCUUUUGCCAAAUGGAAAUGUUUGCUUAAAGCUGCAGGAACAGGGGAAAGCCAGGAGCUGUUUUAAUCAUCUCUGUGCCCACCUGGAUGCCAGCUAUGGUCCUUAACUAUAGGAGUAACAGCAGCAUGCUUGGGUCUUGCUUAGAGGCCCCCUAGCAAGCCAAGAAGGACACUGACACCCUGUGCAGACCCUAGCAGUGAAGCUGAUGGUGCUGGCAUCAUGUCUGUAACUCCUGGCUGAGCCAGAGACUAUCCUUCAGGAAGGUGCUGUAAGUGCUUGCAGCUUUUGAAGGAAUGGGGAAGAUGUUGGACCCCUUGACAAUUUGGACGCUGGAAGAUGCCUCCCUGAUGUCCCCUUUGCAAACUCUUCAGAAGGAAAGGAGAACCAUGACUGUCAGACAAAGAACAGACGUAAGGGUCAUGUUGAUAAAGACAUAAGGGUCUCUUCCUCUCCCCUGCUGCAGUGAUUUAUGAGCAGCUUUAGCUUUCCAGGCCCUGCUGUAGCAGGUUUCCCAGGAAAGAGCCUGUUCUCAGUCUCCCACAGUCUGAAAUGGUGGUGUCAGUGUUGCUUGUGGACAAACGGGGCCUCACGAGACUGUUUGCCUUCAUCAAUCAUCCGAUGUGGGACUCAGCAGCCAACACCAGUCCGCCCAAGCUGCAGGGGCACAGAGCGUGAAGGCUGCUGAGGAAGGGUCAGCUCACUGCCCAGCACUGGGAGGACUAGAGCCUUGGCACAUCGCUCUUGUGCAGUGACAGUACCUUAUGAGCAAGUGACAAUCACUUGGUGACUGGUCUUGCUCCACACU